rnacentral:rRNA from 1 species
GAUGAACGCUGGCGGCGUGCCUAAUACAUGCAAGUCGAGCGAACAGACGAGGAGCUUGCUCCUCUGACGUUAGCGGCGGACGGGUGAGUAACACGUGGAUAACCUACCUAUAAGACUGGGAUAACUUCGGGAAACCGGAGCUAAUACCGGAUAAUAUAUUGAACCGCAUGGUUCAAUAGUGAAAGACGGUUUUGCUGUCACUUAUAGAUGGAUCCGCGCCGCAUUAGCUAGUUGGUAAGGUAACGGCUUACCAAGGCGACGAUGCGUAGCCGACCUGAGAGGGUGAUCGGCCACACUGGAACUGAGACACGGUCCAGACUCCUACGGGAGGCAGCAGUAGGGAAUCUUCCGCAAUGGGCGAAAGCCUGACGGAGCAACGCCGCGUGAGUGAUGAAGGUCUUCGGAUCGUAAAACUCUGUUAUUAGGGGAGAACAAAUGUGUAAGUAACUAUGCACGUCUUGACGGUACCUAAUCAGAAAGCCACGGCUAACUACGUG